CUUCGUCUUGUCUCCAUUCUUCCCGCCCCUGUCCCCACUCUGUCUCUUGCUCCCUGACCCGUGGACCGGAGCUGCAGAACAACUGGAUACACACCACAGUCAAAAACAAAAUCAAGAGAGAAGCAAGAUGGCAGACGUGCUAGAUCUUCACGAGGCGGGGGGCGAGGAUUUCGCCAUGGAUGAGGAUGGAGACGAAAGCAUCCACAAAUUAAAAGAAAAAGCGAAGAAACGGAAGGGCCGCGGUUUUGGCUCCGAAGAGGGGUCCCGAGCGCGGAUGCGGGAGGAUUAUGACAGUGUGGAGCAGGAUGGCGAUGAACCUGGACCACAGCGCUCUGUUGAAGGUUGGAUUCUCUUUGUCACUGGAGUCCAUGAAGAAGCCACUGAAGAAGAUAUCCAUGACAAAUUCGCUGAAUAUGGAGAAAUAAAAAAUAUCCACCCUAAUUUGGACAGGCGCACAGGAUAUUUGAAGGGGUAUACUCUAGUUGAAUAUGAAACAUACAAAGAGGCUCAGGCUGCCAUGGAGGGACUAAACGGUCAAGACUUGAUGGGGCAACCAAUCAGUGUUGACUGGUGUUUUGUUCGUGGUCCACCAAAGGGCAAGAGGAGAGGAGGCCGAAGACGAAGCAGGAGUCCAGAUCGGAGACGUCGUUGAUAAAUCCUCUGUUGACCAUGUGGUCUCUCUAUGAGUCCAUUUGGUUAUGCUGUCUUGGAUAACCAGGGCUAGAGCGGACCUUGUGUUUAUAUUUAAUUUCUUACCCUGUCUACUUGGUAUUGCUUUGAGUUUAAGAAAAAAAAAUAAAUGUUCCAUUUUGUUUUCUACAAAAAAAAUAAAAUAAAAAAAAAUUAAAAAAAAAAUCAAGGUCGCCUCCGGGACUUCUCCAAGCCAAAGUCAGUUGCCUGUCGUCACUGCUGCCGCCUCCGCUGAAACCGCCG